GCCCGGGCUUGGCUGCUCCCCCUGCGGAAGAAGGAGCAAUUUUUUGUCGCGUUUGGCCCUUCCGCCCCCGGCCGCAGCGGCACGACGGAGGGAGAAGGCUUCCCUCACCCGGCGCCGGCUCUCCGACCGGCUUCCCGUUGCUCGCGCAGCUGAAGGCACAAAGGAAAGAGAGGGAUGUUCUUCCUGCAACAUUGCCUGGUGAUUGCACCUAUCUUCUCUGUAACAAGCAAAAGAUAUUUAAUGUACAGUCACAACAAACAAACGUGGCCUAUGUGACUAUGGAAUGGCUGUGACUCUUCAUGAGGAAAGACAUAUCUUGUCAGAAGAUUUGCUAUCUGAGCCACAGCUAGGUGGCUGGGGACAGGCACAACACACUUAAAAGGUGAUAAAGCAUUUUUUGUGUUUUUCUCCUUUGUCUUACAGUAGUUACUUAAGGGCUUCUGGUGGGCUUGGUGACAGCCCAGCACUUCUCUAGCAGUCACUAGCAUGAACUGGUUCCCUUCUUACUCUGGAAUAUGUUGCUUAAAG
rnacentral:lncRNA from 1 species